rnacentral:rRNA from 1 species
UACGUAGGGGGCGAGCGUUGUCCGGAUUCAUUGGGCGUAAAGAGCUCGUAGGCGGUUUGGUAAGUCGGGUGUGAAAACCCCAGGCUCAACCUGGGGACGCCACCUGAUACUGCUAUGACUUGAGUCUGGUAGGGGAUCACGGAAUUCCUGGUGUAGCGGUGAAAUGCGCAGAUAUCGUAAGGAAGACCAGUGGCGAAGGCGGGUCUCUGGACAGUUCCUGACGCUGAGGCACGAAGGCCAGGGGAGCAAACGGG